GGAGUCUUUGACUUAAUUUGACUCAACACGGGAAACCUCUCCAUGACUGGACGUUGAAAGGCUUUACAGAUGGCUCUUUCUCAAUAAUGUGGUUGGUGGUGCAUGGCUCCUCUUAGUUGGUAACCUGAUUUCUCUGGGUAAGUCCUCUGUGCUUACUAGUGUGACCUGUGACAACUGGUGUCCAACAUCUUAGAGCAGCGGUUCUUAACCUGUGGGUUGGGACCCCUUUGGGGGUCGAACAACCCUUUCACAGGGGUUGCCUAAGACCAUCGGAAAACACAUAUUUCCGAUGGUCUUAGGAAUAAUUUUAUGGUUGGGGGUCACCACAACAUGAGGAACUGUAUUAAAGGGUUGCGGCAUUAGGAAGGUUGGGAACCACUGUCUUAGAUGGACAAGUGGCAUUCAGCUCAUGAGAUUGAGCACUAACAGUUCUGUGAUGUCCUUGGAUACCUAUUGCUGCGUUUGCUAC
rnacentral:ncRNA from 1 species